AUCUCACUUGUACAGAGUAGGAAACUACGGCUUAGCAAGAUUUUUGUUCAAGGUCAUUUGGCUAAUAAAUGACAGUGCUAGAACUUUAAAUACCACAACCACCUGGUAAAAAGUGCUGUGGGUGUUGGUCUGGAAUACACCCAGAUAACCAGCCUCCCUGACUCCAAGGCCUGGGUCGUUAACCUCUUCACCAUAUUCAGUAGCUGGGUAAGUGAAGGAGGAAGGGAGGAUAUUGCUGACAGAAUAAACUAUAUAUAGAAUAGAAGAAUGAGGACUUCAGGCGUGGUUGGAGCCUGACAUUUCUUUUUCCUGUGUGGAUAUCAUGGUAUUUGUGGACAGGGAUUUGGCUGAAAAGUUUAGUUGAGGUAACAAUAAGGAGUACCUUGCCUAACGUGGACUUCCAUCAACAGGCCUCUGGUUGUCAGACAGGGACAUCCAUACCAGUGAGGAUCAUCAAUAUGAAAGGCGUCAUCAGUCUUAACCAGUUGGACAAGCUGUGAAACGUCUAGAUUCCAGAGCAACAGACUGUGAUCCAUUCCCAGCAACCCCUCCCUACCGUCUGCCACAAGCUCCCAUAAAGCAGGAAUCAGAGCUAGACUGGCUCAGCUUAGGUAAGAAGUGAGGCUUCAUGUGAAAAAGACUACACCUA
ensembl:lncRNA